rnacentral:rRNA from 1 species
AACGAACGCUGGCGGCAUGCCUAACACAUGCAAGUCGAACGGGACCUUCGGGUCUAGUGGCGCACGGGUGCGUAACGCGUGGGAACCUGCCCUUAGGUUCGGAAUACCUCCCCGAAGGGGGUGCUCAUACCGGAUAAUGUCUUCGGACCAAAGAUUUAUCGCCUUUGGAUGGGGGCGUGUUGGAUUAGCUGGUUGGUAGGGUAAAAGCCUACCAAGGCGAGGAUCCAUAGCUGGUCUGAGAGGAGGAUCAGCCACACUGGGACUGAGACACGGACCAGACUCGUACGGGAGGGAGCGGUGGGGAAUAUUGUAGAAGGGGGGAAAGUGUGAUACAGCCACGUCGCGGGAGUCAUGAAUGCCGUAGGGUUGUAAAGCUCCUUGAGCCGGGAUGAUAAUGACAGUACCGGGAGAAUAAGCACCGGCUAACUACGUG